rnacentral:rRNA from 1 species
AUGGAGCAACACGAGCGCGCGGCUGUUGAUCCGCUCGAGGGGCAGACGGAGCAGGGCGGGGAGGAUCCCGCUCCGGCGGCGGUUCUCGCCGGCGAGGUGGCCGGCGCCAAGGAGGGCGACCAGGAGCGCGCCCCGGAGACGCACAAUCCCGUCGGUGCCGCCGCGUCGGAGGGCGCCAAGAAGCAGGAUCUUGAGGAACCUUCGCCGGAGUCCGACGAGGUCGCGGCGGCGUCUACCAACAUCCAGAGCGAAGACCGCGAGGCGUUCGAGGACCCUAUGGAGACUCACUUCGAGUUCCGAUCAGCGGCCGCCGAUGCGACGCCGACGUACACCUCCCUCCGCGCACGGUCAAGGAAGCAGGCCGGGCCGACGAAGUUCGUCGCCGUGGGAGCUCCCGACGGUGCCGGCUCCGAGGCGCCUGUUCUUGGCGCGUCGUCGUCUUCGGCGCCGGCGCGAGCGGCGGGCACGCACGAGGACUUCUCUGCGACGGCCGCGCCCGGCGCCACGGUGGCGAUCGCGCACGCCUCGCCGCCCGACUCCAAUCGCCGCCUGCCGUCGCGAAGCAGGAAGCAGUACUCCCCGAUGCGCUUCGCCUCCGCGGGGGCGUCAACUUCGACCGGCGCACCGGCCGCAGGCGACCCAGCUCCCCCUGCUCGAGGCAGGAAGCAGCCCCGGCCCGAGCACUUCAUCCCGGAGGAAGCGGCAGCCACGGCCGGCGCCAAAGCUCGCCGGGGCGACAUCGUCCUCGACAGGUUCCUCUCGUCUACUAUGGCCCGCGGCUCCUCGGUUUCGGAUUGGGCGAGGGACGUCACGGCGGAGGACGCGGGUCGGCAGCCCAAGCGCCCGCGCGGCGUCGAGAGCUUCAGGAUCAGGGACGCGAGCCGCCACGCCGCCCGUGCCUGCGGGCUACGCGUCGCGAUCAGCCGCCUCGGAGCCUCGUGCGGCGGCAGUUCGUCGCCAUCAACGGCGGCCCCGGGACAGCCCGAGGGGAGCGGGAAGAUGUACGGCAUCCUCGCCGUUCUCGGCGCUUCUCUGGCGCUCAGCGUGGUGUCCUGCGUGCUGUUCUACCUCGUCGGUCAGAGCAGCCAGGCUGCUCCCUCCGGGGAGAACCAGGACAAGGUAAUUGCCCUACUUCUCAAUUCUCAAUUUCUCAUUUUUUGUCCGAAUUGGUGUGGC